CGUAGCAGUCCUCCGCGCUGUCACCAAGGUUCUCUCCCGUACCAGUACCUUGCCUUAACUGAAUAUGGAGCGGCAACAAAGGCUCCGGCCAACAACUUUGGAUGAACGUGUCAAGCUGGUGUGGAUGUGGGUGAAAGGCUUCCCUGUACGUGCCAUAGCAGAAGAGACAGGCACGAGCGUCACCACUGUCUGCAGGUGGAUAAGACGUUGGCAGCUUGAGGGAAAUGUCGAGACAAAACAUCGAAGACGCAGAAGUCCCGUAUAUUACGAACACAAUCAAUAUUUAUCGCAAUUAAUGAGUUUUUCCCAUCCCAGUCACUCCGUCACUUCUACAGACACAAUACGAUUUUAAAGUGAAAGAGACAUGACCUCUUCAAAACUUUCUUUCGCGAGAGUAAAAAGACGAAUAAAAAAAAAACAUUCCAACAAAGUAUAUUGAAGAGAACACGUCUGAACUUUCAGUAAAGAUAAACAGGGAGAGAAAAACAGUGAAUUAAUUAAUCUUAAUUAUUAUUGUUGAACAUCUAACAAAGAGACAAGAAUAUCUCAGUUUUCAGGUAUCAUUAUAUUACGUUAAAUACGAUUUUGUCCAGCAACCGUUCCCAGACACCAAAAUAUGAGGAUAUAUACUGCACAUGUGUAAUUGUUCACAUUCUCCUUAUCAACGUAAAAAAUUACCAUUAUUACAUCUACAAGUUUUCUUUAAACUUAAAUUAAAAUUCUGAAAUGGUUGAUUUUAAUGUUAUAAAUAUCUUUUACAAACACUUGUACAACGUCUAACUGUACGGGAAGGGUUUAAGAAAUGUGAGGAACGAUCCUAUAGAAUGAGAGAACAAUCCUCCAAACCACCCUAUUAAGAGUUCAGGAAACACAGCCGCGAACACCACCAUGUCAUACUAGACUCCUCAUUUACUAUCCACGCCAGUCGUAGCCAAGACACAGAACUGUGGAUAAUAGAAUCCCUCUCGAUGAAAACAAUAUCCAGAAAUGAGCAGUUAUUUGUACUCCUGUGUUUCUAGAGUGGUAAGCCCGCUGCACUCUUACAUUUAAUUAAGAUUGAUUGUGUAUGUAUAUAAAAGAUUGAUACACAUUUUAUAAUAGCUGCAAUAACUUGGAAGUUAAACUUCUCUUCCGUCACAAUAAAUGAUUAACAUAAUGUCAUGGAAA